rnacentral:rRNA from 1 species
AGCAGCCGCGGUAAUUCGGAGGGUGCAAGCGUUAAUCGGAAUUACUGGGCGUAAAGCGUGCGUAGGUGGUUUGUUAAGUCAGAUGUGAAAGCCCCGGGCUCAACCUGGGAACUGCAUUUGAAACUGGCAAACUUGAGUAUAGGAGAGGAAAGUGGAAUUUCUGGUGUAGCGGUGAAAUGCGUAGAUAUCAGAAGGAACAUCAAUGGCGAAGGCAGCUUUCUGGACUAAUACUGACACUGAGGUACGAAAGCGUGGGUAGCAAACAGGAUUAGAUACCCUGGUAGUCCACGCCGUAAACGAUGAGUACUUGGUGUCGGGGGAUUCGACCCCUUCGGUACCGGAGCUAACGCAUUAAGUACUCCGCCUGGGAACUACGACCGCAAGGUUGAAAUUCAAAGGAAUUGACGGGGACCCGCACAAGCGGUGGAACAUGUGGUUUAAUUCGAUGCAACGCGAAGAACCUUACCUGGGCUUGACAUAUUUAUGAAAGCUUUGUGAAAGCAAAGCCAUCUGCGAGCUUGCUCAAAGACAUAAUUACAGGUGAUGCAUGGCUGUCGUCAGCUCGUGUCGUGAGAUGUUGGGUUAAGUCCCGCAACGAGCGCAACCCCUAUCCUUAGUUGCCAGCACAUUAUGGUGGGGACUCUAAGGAGACUGCCUGGGAUAACCAGGAGGAAGGUGGGGAUGAUGUCAAGUCAGUAUGUCCCUUAUGUCCAGGGCUACACACGUGUUACAAUGGUUGGUACAAUGGGCUGCGAAACCGCAAGGUGAAGCCAAUCCCCAAAAACCAAUCCCAGUUCGGAUUGGAGUCUGCAACUCGACUCCAUGAAGCAGGAAUCGCUAGUAAUCGUGGAUCAGAACGCCACGGUGAAUACGUUCCCGGGUCUUGUACACACCGCCCGU